AGUGAACGCUGGCGGCGUGCCUAAUACAUGCAAGUCGAACGCGAAAGUCCUUCGGGAUGAGUAAAGUGGCGCACGGGUGAGUAAUGGUUGAGAACAUGCCCUGAGGUGGGGAAUAACAGUUGGAAACGACUGCUAAUACCGCAUGGUCACGGAAGUGUAAAGGUGGGGCUCGCAAGACCUACCGCCACAGGAUUGGCUCAACUCCCAUUAGCUAGUUGGCAGGGUAACGGCCUACCAAGGCAACGAUGGGUAUGUGGUCUUAGAGGAUGAUCACACACACUGGAACUGAGACACGGUCCAGACUCCUACGGGAGGCAGCAGUAGGGAAUAUUGCACAAUGGAGGAAACUCUGAUGCAGCAACGCCGCGUGAGUGAAGAAGGCCCUUGGGUCGUAAAGCUCUUUAGCCUGGAAAGAAGUGCCUGAAGGUAAACAAUCUUCAGGUGUGACGGUACCAGGAGAAUAAGGACCGGCUAAUUUCGUGCCAGCAGCCGCGGUAAAAC
rnacentral:rRNA from 1 species